GCUAGUAUAGCUUAAUAAAAGCAUAAUACUGAAGAUAUUAAGAUAGGCCUUAAAAAGCCUUACAAGCA
rnacentral:tRNA from 1 species